UGUUGCACACAUUGCCCGUCACUGCCCGAGAUUGCUUAUGGUUCUUAAGAAUGAGUAAACAUGUGUAUGCUGCUCAACCCAGGGAUUGUAACGAGAUCGGGUAAAAGUCGAAACAGG
rnacentral:rRNA from 1 species